rnacentral:misc_RNA from 1 species
UACGAAGGGGGCAAGCGUUGUUCGGAAUCACUGGGCGUAAAGCGCGCGUAGGCGGCUUACCAAGUCAGGGGUGAAAUCCCGGGGCUCAACCCCGGAACUGCCUUUGAAACUGGUAAGCUAGAGUUCGGUAGAGGAGUGUGGAAUUCCUAGUGUAGAGGUGAAAUUCGUAGAUAUUAGGAGGAACACCAGUGGCGAAGGCGGCACUCUGGACCGAUACUGACGCUGAGGUGCGAAAGCGUGGGGAGCAAACAGG